UACGGAGGGGGCUAGCGUUGUUCGGAAUUACUGGGCGUAAAGCGCACGUAGGCGGCUUUGUAAGUUAGAGGUGAAAGCCCGGGGCUCAACUCCGGAAUUGCCUUUAAGACUGCAUCGCUAGAAUUGUGGAGAGGUAAGUGGAAUUCCGAGUGUAGAGGUGAAAUUCGUAGAUAUUCGGAAGAACACCAGUGGCGAAGGCGGGUCUCUGGGCAGUAACUGACGCUGAGGAGCGAAAGCGUGGGGAGCGAAACGG
rnacentral:rRNA from 1 species